UGGGGAGUAUUGCACAAUGGGGAAAGACCCUGAUGCAGCGACGCCGCGUGAGGGAAGACGGCCUUCGGGUUGUAAACCUCUGUCUUCGGGGACGAAUAAAUGACGGUACCCGAGGAGGAAGCCACGGCUAACUACGUGCCAGCAGCCGCGGUAAUACGUAGGUGGCAAGCGUUGUCCGGAAUUACUGGGUGUAAAGGGAGCGUAGGCGGGGAGGCAAGUUGAAUGUCUAAACUAUCGGCUCAACUGAUAGUCGCGUUCAAAAACUGCCACUCUUGAGUGCAGUAGAGGUAGGCAGGAAUUCCCUAGUGUAGCGGGUGAAAUGCGUAGAUAUUAGGAGGAACACCAGUGGCGAAGGCGGCCUACUGGGCUGUAACUGACGCUGAGGCUCGAAAGCGUGGGUAGCAAACAGGAUUAGAUACCC
rnacentral:rRNA from 1 species